rnacentral:rRNA from 1 species
UCCGUAGGGUGCAAGCGUUGUCCGGAAUUAUUGGGCGUAAAGAGCUCGUAGGCGGUCUGUCGCGUCGGCUGUGAAAACCCGGGGCUCAACCCCGGGCCUGCAGUCGAUACGGGCAGACUAGAGUGCGGUAGGGGAGACUGGAAUUCCUGGUGUAGCGGUGAAAUGCGCAGAUAUCAGGAGGAACACCGGUGGCGAAGGCGGGUCUCUGGGCCGUAACUGACGCUGAGGAGCGAAAGCGUGGGGAGCGAACAGG